rnacentral:lncRNA from 1 species
CGCAUCAAGGCCAUCAAGGCCAUCAAGUCCAAGGAGGAGACUCGAUUCCAUCCUUCCUCCCCAUCGUCCUCGCCCUUCAUCACAAGUCCGAACAACAACAGUCAGGAAAGAAGAAACUGAAGAGGUUAUUCAGCCUCUUCAGCUGAUCCUCUUCAAGAAAGAGUGCAGCGAUUCAAUGGUGGCGCCGGACGCCUGAACCAGACAAUCACCACUAACGCAGACAAGUUCAACAGUACGAUUAUGAGAAGACACAAGAAACAAGUUCCGCAUGUAGCGGGUGCAAUUCAUCAACCUGUAACAUUUCUGCACGAGUAAAAUUCACAUUCACAAAGAA